rnacentral:lncRNA from 1 species
AUUUAUUUAUUUGUUUUGUUCCUUGAUUUAAUGUCGUGUUUGUCCAAGAGCGACUACUGAAGCUUUCAUUCUCAAUAUAUUUUCGUUUUUUAUUUUAUUUUACUUGUGAUAUAAGCAUGUCAUAAGAUAUGUUUUGAUAUUUAAGUAGGAUGAAAUCUACUUUAAUUUUGGUUAUAUAUAUAAAUAAAUAUAUAUGUAAGUAUAUUUCAAAUUAAAAUCAGAAUAAGAUACAAAAAAAUUACUACGUCUGGCUUUUGGAACAAGUGGCAAGAACAAAAGUGGAUGAAAGAUCAAAAAUCUAACCAAAUUAAAAGGUAGGGAAUCUAAUUUGAAGGUGGCACUUCCACACAUACUAAUACUCUGCUUUUAAAUUAUAAUUUUUUUAUUAGUACAUUCUUCACUCUGUCGUCAUAACUUUUUAUUCAUGAAAAACCAACAAGAAUUUACAUAAGUGCAUGAUGAAAUUGGCAGUUAUACUGAAAACAAACUUUGAUUGUUAUUAUCUUGAAAUGGGUACAUUUAUUAAAUAUUGAAAAUCAAAUGUGACUUGCAUUAAUAAUGCCGGAAGUUG